UACGAAGGGGGCUAGCGUUGCUCGGAAUCACUGGGCGUAAAGGCGCGUAGGCGGCCUGAUAAGUCGGGGGUGAAAGCCUGUGGCUCAACCACAGAAUUGCCUUCGAUACUGUUAGGCUUGAGACCGGGAGAGGUGAGUGGAAUUCCCAGUGUAGCGGUGAAAUUCGUAGAUAUUCGCAAGAACACCAGUGGCGAAGGCGGCUCACUGGCCCGAUACUGACGCUGAGGCACGAAAGCGUGGGGAGCAAACAGG
rnacentral:rRNA from 1 species